CCUUAGCGGGGAGUAGCCCGGAGAAAUCCGGAUUAAUACCCCAUAGUAAUGUUGGGUGGCAUCACUUGAUAUUUAAAGAUUUAUCACUUAGAGAUGGCUGUGCGGCUGAUUAGGUAGUUGGCGGGGUAAAGGCCCACCAAGCCAUCGAUCAGUAACUGGUGUGAGAGCACGACCAGUCACACGGGCACUGAGACACGGGCCCG
rnacentral:rRNA from 1 species